GGGUUGUGAGGUUAAGCGACUAAGCGUACACGGUGGAUGCCCUGGCAGUCAGAGGCGAUGAAGGGCGUGCUAAUCUGCGAUAAGCGCCGGUAAGGUGAUAUGAACCGUUAUAACCGGCGAUACCCGAAUGGGGAAACCCAGUGUGAUUCGUCACACUAUCAUUAACUGAAUCCAUAGGUUAAUGAGGCGAACCGGGGGAACUGAAACAUCUAAGUACCCCGAGGAAAAGAAAUCAACCGAGAUUCCCCCAGUAGCGGCGAGCGAACGGGGAGGAGCCCAGAGCCUGAAUCAGCAUGUGUGUUAGUGGAAGCGUCUGGAAAGGCGCGCGAUACAGGGUGACAGCCCCGUACACAAAAGCGCAUGUGCUGUGAGCUCGAUGAGUAGGGCGGGACACGUGGUAUCCUGUCUGAAUAUGGGGGGACCAUCCUCCAAGGCUAAAUACUCCUGACUGACCGAUAGUGAACCAGUACCGUGAGGGAAAGGCGAAAAGAACCCCGGCGAGGGGAGUGAAAAAGAACCUGAAACCGUGUACGUACAAGCAGUGGGAGCACANNNNNNNNNNNGUGACUGCGUACCUUUUGUAUAAUGGGUCAGCGACUUAUAUUCUGUAGCAAGGUUAACCGAAUAGGGGAGCCGGAGGGAAACCGAGUCUUAAUUGGGCGUUAAGUUGCAGGGUAUAGACCCGAAACCCGGUGAUCUAGCCAUGGGCAGGUUGAAGGUUGGGUAACACUAACUGGAGGACCGAACCGACUAAUGUUGAAAAAUUAGCGGAUGACCUGUGGCUGGGGGUGAAAGGCCAAUCAAACCGGGAGAUAGCUGGUUCUCCCCGAAAGCUAUUUAGGUAGCGCCUCGUGAAUUCAUCUCCGGGGGUAGAGCACUGUUUCGGCUAGGGGGCCAUCCCGGCUUACCAACCCGAUGCAAACUGCGAAUACCGGAGAAUGUUAUCACGGGAGACACACGGCGGGUGCUAACGUCCGUCGUGAAGAGGGAAACAACCCAGACCGCCAGCUAAGGUCCCAAAGUCAUGGUUAAGUGGGAAACGAUGUGGGAAGGCCCAGACAGCCAGGAUGUUGGCUUAGAAGCAGCCAUCAUUUAAAGAAAGCGUAAUAGCUCACUGGUCGAGUCGGCCUGCGCGGAAGAUGUAACGGGGCUAAACCAUGCACCGAAGCUGCGGCAGCGACACUGUGUGUUGUUGGGUAGGGGAGCGUUCUGUAAGCCUGUGAAGGUGUGUCGUGAGGCAUGCUGGAGGUAUCAGAAGUGCGAAUGCUGACAUAAGUAACGAUAAAGCGGGUGAAAAGCCCGCUCGCCGGAAGACCAAGGGUUCCUGUCCAACGUUAAUCGGGGCAGGGUGAGUCGACCCCUAAGGCGAGGCCGAAAGGCGUAGUCGAUGGGAAACGGGUUAAUAUUCCCGUACUUGGUGUUACUGCGAAGGGGGGACGGAGAAGGCUAUGUUGGCCGGGCGACGGUUGUCCCGGUUUAAGCGUGUAGGUGUGUGUUCCAGGUAAAUCCGGUUCACUUUAACACUGAGGCGUGACGACGAGGCACUACGGUGCUGAAGCAACAAAUGCCCUGCUUCCAGGAAAAGCCUCUAAGCAUCAGGUAACAUCAAAUCGUACCCCAAACCGACACAGGUGGUCAGGUAGAGAAUACCAAGGCGCUUGAGAGAACUCGGGUGAAGGAACUAGGCAAAAUGGUGCCGUAACUUCGGGAGAAGGCACGCUGACACGUAGGUGAAGUGAUUUACUCAUGGAGCUGAAGUCAGUCGAAGAUACCAGCUGGCUGCAACUGUUUAUUAAAAACACAGCACUGUGCAAACACGAAAGUGGACGUAUACGGUGUGACGCCUGCCCGGUGCCGGAAGGUUAAUUGAUGGGGUCAGCGCAAGCGAAGCUCCUGAUCGAAGCCCCGGUAAACGGCGGCCGUAACUAUAACGGUCCUAAGGUAGCGAAAUUCCUUGUCGGGUAAGUUCCGACCUGCACGAAUGGCGUAAUGAUGGCCAGGCUGUCUCCACCCGAGACUCAGUGAAAUUGAACUCGCUGUGAAGAUGCAGUGUACCCGCGGCAAGACGGAAAGACCCCGUGAACCUUUACUAUAGCUUGACACUGAACAUUGAGCCUUGAUGUGUAGGAUAGGUGGGAGGCUUUGAAGUGUGGACGCCAGUCUGCAUGGAGCCGACCUUGAAAUACCACCCUUUAAUGUUUGAUGUUCUAACGUGGACCCGUUACCCGGGUUGCGGACAGUGUCUGGUGGGUAGUUUGACUGGGGCGGUCUCCUCCUAAAGAGUAACGGAGGAGCACGAAGGUUGGCUAAUCCUGGUCGGACAUCAGGAGGUUAGUGCAAUGGCAUAAGCCAGCUUGACUGCGAGCGUGACGGCGCGAGCAGGUGCGAAAGCAGGUCAUAGUGAUCCGGUGGUUCUGAAUGGAAGGGCCAUCGCUCAACGGAUAAAAGGUACUCCGGGGAUAACAGGCUGAUACCGCCCAAGAGUUCAUAUCGACGGCGGUGUUUGGCACCUCGAUGUCGGCUCAUCACAUCCUGGGGCUGAAGUAGGUCCCAAGGGUAUGGCUGUUCGCCAUUUAAAGUGGUACGCGAGCUGGGUUUAGAACGUCGUGAGACAGUUCGGUCCCUAUCUGCCGUGGGCGCUGGAGAACUGAGGGGGGCUGCUCCUAGUACGAGAGGACCGGAGUGGACGCAUCACUGGUGUUCGGGUUGUCAUGCCAAUGGCACUGCCCGGUAGCUAAAUGCGGAAGAGAUAAGUGCUGAAAGCAUCUAAGCACGAAACUUGCCCCGAGAUGAGUUCUCCCUGAGACUUAGAGUCUCCUGAAGGAACGUUGAAGACGACGACGUUGAUAGGCCGGGUGUGUAAGCGCAGCGAUGCGUUGAGCUAACCGGUACUAAUGAACCGUGAGGCUUAACCUUACAACGCCGAAG
rnacentral:rRNA from 1 species